GAUGAUCGCUGGCGGCGUGCCUAAUACAUGCAAGUCGAGCGAACGGACGAGAAGCUUGCUUCUCUGAUGUUAGCGGCGGACGGGUGAGUAACACGUGGAUAACCUACCUAUAAGACUGGGAUAACUUCGGGAAACCGGAGCUAAUACCGGAUGAUAUUUUGAACCGCAUGGUUCAAAAGUGAAAGACGGUCUUGCUGUCACUUAUAGAUGGAUCCGCGCUGCAUUAGCUAGUUGGUAAGGUAACGGCUUACCAAGGCAACGAUGCAUAGCCGACCUGAGAGGGUGAUCGGCCACACUGGAACUGAGACACGGUCCAGACUCCUACGGGAGGCAGCAGUAGGGAAUCUUCCGCAAUGGGCGAAAGCCUGACGGAGCAACGCCGCGUGAGUGAUGAAGGUCUUCGGAUCGUAAAACUCUGUUAUUAGGGAAGAACAUAUGUGUAAGUAACUGUGCACAUCUUGACGGUACCUAAUCAGAAAGCCACGGCUAACUACGUG
rnacentral:rRNA from 1 species